AAAACAAACCUACGGGAGGCAGCAGUAGGGAAUAUUGGGCAAUGGGCGAGAGCCUGACCCAGCCAUGCCGCGUGCAGGAAGACGGCCCUCUGGGUUGUAAACUGCUUUUGAAUGGGAAGAACGGUAAGCCUGCGGGCUUAAUUGACGGUACCAUUAGAAUAAGCCACGGCUAACUACGUGCCAGCAGCCGCGGUAAUACGUAGGUGGCGAGCGUUAUCCGGAUUUAUUGGGUUUAAAGGGUGCGUAGGCGGCUUAAUAAGUCGGUGGUCAAAGGUAGCAGCUUAACUGUUUUACAUGCCACCGAUACUGUUGAGCUUGAGAUAUGUGGAGGCAGAUGGAA
rnacentral:rRNA from 1 species